rnacentral:rRNA from 1 species
UACGGAGGGUGCAAGCGUUGUUCGGAAUCACUGGGCGUAAAGGGCGUGUAGGCGGCCUGUUAAGUCUGAUGUGAAAUCCCCUCGCUCAACGAGGGAACUGCGUCGGAAACUGGCAGGCUCGAGUACUGUAGGGGCAGGCGGAAUUCCGGGUGUAGCGGUGGAAUGCGUAGAGAUCCGGAGGAAGACCGGUGGCGAAGGCGGCCUGCUGGGCAGUUACUGACGCUGAGGCACGAAGGCCAGGGGAGCAAACGGGG